GACGUAGGAGGCGAGCGUUGUCCGGAUUCAUUGGGCGUAAAGAGCACGUAGGCGGCUCAGUAAGUCGGGUGUGAAAACUCCAGGCUCAACCUGGAGACGCCACCUGAUACUGCUGUGGCUAGAGUCCGGUAGGGGAGCAUGGAAUUCCUGGUGUAGCGGUGAAAUGCGCAGAUAUCAGGAGGAACACCAGUGGCGAAGGCGGUGCUCUGGGCCGGAACUGACGCUGAGGAGCGAAAGCGUGGGGAGCGAACAGG
rnacentral:rRNA from 1 species